UCCGCACGAGCGCACNCCNUAUCCUUAGUUGCUAGCAGGUAAUGCUGAGAACUCUAAGGAGACUGCCGGUGAUAAACCGGAGGAAGGUGGGGACGACGUCAAGUCAUCAUGGCCCUUACGUGUAGGGCUACACACGUGCUACAAUGGCGCAUACAGAGUGUUGCGAACUCGCGAGAGUAANCGAAUCACUUAAAGUGCGUCGUAGUCCGGAUUGGAGUCUGCAACUCNACUCCAUGAAGUCGGANUCGCUAUUAAUCGCAUAUCAGAAUGAUGCGGUGAAUACNUUCCCGGGCCUUGUACACACCGCCCGUCACACCAUGGGAGUGGGUUGCUCCANAAGUANAUAGUCUAACCCUCGGGAGGACGUUUACCACGGAGUGAUUCNUGGACUGGNGGUGAANUCAUANCAANGUANCCCUNGGGGGGGGGGGGGGUUUAGAUCACCUCCNU
rnacentral:rRNA from 1 species